AGCUUUGCGCAGUGGCAGUAUUGUAGCCAAUGAGGUUUAUCCGAGGCGCGAUUAUUGCUAAUUGAAAAACUGGCAAUUCAGAAGUUCACAAGUGGUAUCACUGUUUUUCUAUAGUCCGAAAAGGC
rnacentral:snRNA from 1 species